AGGAUGAACGCUAGCGGCAGGCUUAACACAUGCAAGUCGAGGGGGCAGCACGUCUUCGGAUGGUGGCGACCGGCGCACGGGUGCGUAACGCGUAUACAAUCUACCUUAUAGAGGGGAAUAGCCCAGAGAAAUUUGGAUUAAUGCCCCAUAGUAUUAUUGAAUAGCAUUAUUUAAUAAUUAAACAUUUAUGGCUAUAAGAUGAGUAUGCGUCCUAUUAGUUAGUUGGUAAGGUAACGGCUUACCAAGACCGCGAUAGGUAGGGGUCCUGAGAGGGAGAUCCCCCACACUGGUACUGAGACACGGACCAGACUCCUACGGGAGGCAGCAGUGAGGAAUAUGGACAAUGGGCAGAGCCUAGAUACCAGCCAUGCCGCGUGCAGGAAGACGCCCUAUGGUUAGUAACUGUCUUUACAGAGAAGAAACCGACCCACGUGCGGGCUUGACGGUACUCUGACGAAUAGGAGCGAC
rnacentral:rRNA from 1 species